GCCUCCCGCGGCGGGCCGGGUCUCCAGGGAGGACCUGAGUUUUCUUCACCCAUUGUCAGGAAGGCGCCAUCGCCCUGGCUUUUGGGGCUGGGGCCUCCGGGGAGGUUCCGGUAGGGGCGUUGGAGAGGCCCGCUCUUUUUGCAAGGCCCGAGACGGCGGGCCCUGCGCAGGCCGCCCUAUUUCCGCGCGCCCUCAGGGCGUCAGUAUCAGCCUGAGGCUGGAUACCCCCGCUGGCCCCGGAUGCCCCCGCUGGGCCCGGAGCAUCCUCCGGCGCUGCCCUCCCAGAGCCACGCAGAGGCUGAGGUGGCGCGGGGGCGGCCCCGGCUCCGCGAGAAGCGGCGGCAGCGAGGGCUGGAGGACCCGGGCUGCGGGGCUCCGGGGCGUCUGGCCUGGGUGGGACUGAGCCCAUCCAGGGACUGGGACUCUGGGAUUCUGGUGUAGGUGGAUCCGGGGCAGGCUCAGGACCAAGUCCCUCUCCUUCCACCAAGGAGCGCCCAGAGGCCGGCGGGAGCUCCAGGUUCACCUCCUCCUCCUCCAGGGAAGACUGAAGUUUUACUGAAACACAGAGAUGGGAAUCUGACCCUCUGAGCAGCCGCAGGAUAUUCUAAGUCUUCCAAGAAGAGUAGAAAUACUGGAAAUCCCACUUCCAGCUAGAUGUCUGCAUGAACUACUGAAAGCUGCUGAGUGUCUUGCAGCAGGUGAGCUGUGGCCAGAGCUCAAGGAUGAAGGGGACUCCCUCACUGUGUGACUGUGAAGAGGAAGCCUGAGGUGUAGCAGGCCCAGGCCCCAGAAGUAUGGAAAAAAUGAGGCCAUUUUCAAUCCAGAGGAAGACCUUCUAAAAGAGGUGAUGGAUGGGAGAGUGCUGACAUACUAUGUGAAGCUACUAUUUGGAGUUGGACACGAGUGCAUGUGACCUUGUGCCACAGCGGGAAUGUGAGCUGGGUGACAAAUGGAGAUUUGGACUUGUGAUAAUUGGCCUCUGUGUCAUUGUGUGGAAGACUGACUGGUCCCUUUAUUUCCUGUAGCUUGACUACCACACAAAUGAAUCCAUUCAAAUGUUGGCAAGUGGAGCAGAGUCCCAGGACAGGUAAAGCACUUUCCCUGCUUUUUCUUAAGAUCAAUCCCCAUGCCUAGAAAUUAAAGUCACAUCCCACAUGAUCAUUAAAGUAGAGAGUGCAUUCUACAGGAUGAGUGAAAAGGCAUUUAUGAUUCUUGGGGGCAGAUGUUCUACAGUUGCCUGUGCUAGUUCAUGUCUUUCUGCAGAUCACAUUCUUAACCUCUAGAGAGUCUGGCAGGACCAGAGCCUUACCUUUCCCAGUCUCCAAUCUCUACAGGUACAGAAACACCCCCAGUUCAAGAAUCUUCACAUCUGAAUUUAGUCCUACACCUGCAACUACCCCAGGUAAGUUUCCUUGUUCUUCAAUGGCAAAGUUUGGACAAUGCUGUUCAAACUCCAGGCAACAAGCAACAUCUAGGGAAUGUGCUUUUAGGUAGGGUCAGCAUAAUAUCCCACCCUGGAAGACAUUUUUAUUUUAAAGUUGUAGAGGGUGAUGCUGCUGGCGGCUCCCUCCCAAUUAGCACCAUUUGCAGCCUCUUUUGAAGACAGAGAACUGAGGGCUGUCCUUCAAAUGGAGCAGUGUGAUUCCAAAAAAAAGAGAUGCUCCUUGUGGUCCUGGGACCAGGGAUAGGACUCCAGCUGAGCCUGGUGGAAGAGGUCCACGUCCUAGCCCAACGGAGAGCCAUGCAGCUGAGCUUGGGCGAUGUGGUCCACGUGGUUGUUUCUGAGUGUGUCCUGAGGUUGCUGGAUGGCUUGCAGUUCCCUAUGCAGAUCCAAUGCUUCUUUUGCUUUUUUGGUUCUGCAACCUGGAAUUUAUAUGUUCAAGAUGGAGCCAUCUCAGCCAUGACAACAGAGAAUGUACCACUCUCACAUGAGGAAGAGGGGUAGGAAGUGCUCCUGUAUCACCAGCCCUUAAUGAGACCCUGAGGAAACCACAUCAUGGAGAUCAGCCCUUCUCUCCUGUAAGGAACUCAUCCUAUGAAAGAGCAAUUAGUGCCUGCAAGAGCUGUCUCUGGGACAGCUGUUCAUGUCUAUAUCUGCAGGGUAACCCUCAUAGUCAUAUGCAGUCAUAUCCAUAGUCAUAUCGGGAGUCAGACUCCAGUUUGACUGAGUGAAUGGAGAAACUAAACAUUUAUUACUGAAUAAUAACAUUAAUAAACCAUCUUAAUGAUAGUAAUAAUAAACAUAUUGAUGAGUAUUAACAGGAAUGAUGAUUAUUAUGAUACUAAUAUCCAUAAUUAAUAAUUUUAAUAUUGAUAAUAAUACUAACCCUGUGGACUUGGGACCUAGAGAGCAGUUUCCCCUGACAAUUAUCCCAUAUUUGGCCACAUGGGGUAAUAUUGAGUUCCAGAAGGCAAAGAUUAACAUUCAGAAAAAUAGGAAAAACAACCUGCAGGUAGGCAUGUGCACACAUGGGGACUCUAUGGAUAAAUACUAAAGUGACUCUUGUUCUGGAUCUCCAUGCUAACAAACAUGCACCAGCUUUCAGGAGGUAGGACAGCUGGCUGAUGGGGCAAGGCUUCUUGAGGACAUGGCAGGAGUCAGAAAUCACACAUGCUGCCCAGCAGCAGAGCUCAUGACAAGCAGUAAACCCCAGUGAAAGGACCUGGCUGCCCUUCUGCCAUCUGCUCUCCCAUGGCCUCUGUUGACUGGUACAUCUAGGCACUGGAAUAACCUUCACUGGCUAUAGGAAGGCAUAAUCCUCAGUAUUCUCCCACCUGCAAGAAAGACAAAAAUUAACUGAAUACCAUGGCUUCUGGGUAUCCUUAGUGGGCUUAGUGUAUUUUGCAUUUGUUUUAACAGGCCAGUUAUCCAGGCAGUGACUUUCAGUACAGCUACAGUCACCUCUGGACACCUGUGGAGACUUUAAAAAUUUCCAGAAGUUCAGGAAUUUUUGGACACCUUUCUCAUGGCUAUGUUGCCUGCAAAGGUGAAUCAAUAAGCUUCUGAACUGACUUAGAAAAUGUUGCAGAGACUCUUGUGAGCAGAUAGACCCUCUCCUGCCACUCCAGAUAGACAUAUCUGGGUCACACACACCUGAUUUAACAACAUCUUGUUAUCUCAGGUGGGCAACAGACAGCAAUUUAGGACCUAUCCCAGUGUGGAUGAGAGAUAUUGAGUUGGCUUAGAAACAUGUUAGAUAGACUAGAUGGGGCAAGAAAGCCCAUUCUGGGGCUCAAAAGCCUGCACAUAGAGUUGCUGGCACAUAAAUGGUAUGUAUAAAUUCUUUCUCAGCCCAUGAGAUCAGGAUGUACUUCAUCAGUAUACCAUGCUGGUAUGAAGAGAUUCUUGCCUCAAAAGGGACUCAGAAUAUUUCAGGGAACCUGUAUUAGUCCAUUUUUACACUGUUGUAAAGACACUACCCCACACUGGGUAAUUUACAAAGGGAAGGUGUUUAAUUAAUUUACAGUUCUGCAUCGCUGGGGAGGCCUCAGGAA
rnacentral:misc_RNA from 1 species